CGACCUCAGAGCAGGU
rnacentral:rRNA from 1 species